GAUCCCGCGGUGCGCUAGUCCCGCGUCACUCUCGAUCUGACGCUGGAGUCGACGCACCUCCGAGGAUUUGGCCUUCCUGGCAUUCUUUUCCUUAAGCAAGGAACUCGCCGUCUUCCCAAGGUCCCUCUCAAGCUCUCCUAUCGCAACCUCGAGCUUCGACACUUUCGCAGAGUGAGAGUCCUCGACAGCCGUCAACAUGGCCUCGGUUUCGGACCAUCUGCCCUGAAGCUCCACCAACUCCCCGGAAAGGAGACUGGUCUCAGAACCACAUUCGCUGAUCAUCCAAUCUUCAGCAUCGCGAGACGUCGCAGACGCCUGAAGAUUCAUUCUUCGACGAAAUUUCUUUCCUCGAUAAAAACAUUUUCUUGGAAGACCAGACAGUCAUACGCACUAACAUCUUCUCAAAACAUAUCCUUCGCGAAGACUCGAAACGGUAUUUUUUACCAUUAAGUUUGUUGCUGAUCACAACAAACUCUCAACGUCCUAAAUAGACUUAGCCAUCUCAUAGAGAUGACUCUCGUACAUCCGACACAAGGAUAAUAGCGCUAUAAAAAAAAUCUGAAAUUUUGGUCCAGCACUUCCGAUCUCCGGAGAGAUGCUCGAUUCCAACCAUACAAGUCGUAUAAGCCGAGAACCUAUCGCGGACUUUAAAUCGGUAUGGAAUCAGGAUGAAACUGAAACGGGAUACGUAAGUCGAAUUAGUCAUCGCACCCUCUAAAACCAGGAGUAAACCUAGGUCUUGCCCUAAACCCAGUGCACUGGUCUCUAACAUCUCUAGGCAUAGUAUCAAACACCCUGAUACGAGAUCCCCAAAUUUGUCUCUUUGCCAUUAUUCGAGAAUCUUCAGAAAUCCCGCAAGUUUACACACUGCGGAAAACUCUCGAAACAGAUUACGGAUAUAGCAGUUCAAAUAGAGUUCGAUUACGAGAUGAAAACUCGUAGUCUUCCCUCUACACCCAUACAAAAUGCCAUCGGUAGCAAUAUGCCUUAUAAUCGCUACAUAAAAACUAGACCAUAAAGGUCCCACUGGAAAACAAGGGUACGUAGGCAGCCGUCAUAAGGCGCAGCCCCAAUCUUAUCACGUUUUCUACUUUUAGGAGAGCGAGAAGAUCACGUACCACAGACCUUUUCAACCAUUAAUCCCGCCUAACUCACCUAACUUGCCUAACUUGCCAAGCCACUCGCUAGAACCUCACGCUAGAAGCUCAUGGUUCUAACGAGCUGGGGGGUUAAUUGUUGGGGUCAAAAUCGUUCACGACGGAAUCAAUGCCUGAAAGUCCGUAAAAGUCAGCAUGAACGUUUUUACGAAAAAGUAAUCUUCGUAAAGAUAUCUUUACAAAGAGCCUUGCGGUAAAAUCUUGUUCAAACCUCAAUCAAAUCUCAAUACCGAUUGUACGAAGGAAACAUACAUGUAUCCAAUUCGGCCGCGGACAAGCUCGAUACGGCAAUCGGACCACGGACAAGCCAAGCUCGAUCGAUACGCGGCGACCAAGCAUGCACACAGCUCGGUCGCUACGUAUCGACCGAGCGUCCGUCCCGCUCGGUCGCUACAUAGCGACCGAGCUCGAGCCAAGCUCGGUCGUUACGUAGCGACCGAGAGUCCGUCCCGCUCGGUAGCUACAUAGUGACCGAGCUCGAGCCAAGCUGGGUCGCUACGUAGCGACCGAGCGUCCGUCCCGCUCGGUCGCUACGUAGCGACCGAGCGUGCGUGCUGUACGGUCGUUACGUAGCGACCAAACUCUUCCGAAACGUCGAUACGACACCAAUUCAUGCAUUCUCGUGUAUCCUACGAUGCUAUCUCCCGAAGACCGUAGCGAACUCAGUUCAUGUCUUUCGACCAUUCUAAGACAUCAAUCAAACUUUGCGGUAAAAACCACGGAAAGUUCGUUCUUUAUCGAAAGAAGUCGUAAUAAACGUUUCGAGUCGGAAGACGGCCCAAAGGGACCUAAGACACGACUCGAGGCCCAACUUACGAUUUCAUAACCAAAAGCCCAUAAACCAUAUGACGGUUUACGGUUGGCGCGCAAGGAAGGAUAAAUGUCAAGUUUCCGCGGAUAAAUACGAAAUUUUGAGGAUAAAUACGAAGAUCGAAAAAAAUGGAAUAUCUCCAUUUUAUGCUAUGACGGCUUAAGGGCAGAAGAGUAAAAGCGUAAACCAACCUUGGAGCUAGUAUAUAAGGAGUCCUAGGCGAGAGGCAUGGAGAGAACUUUUUAGACUCGGAAUUCUCUGCAUUUAGAAACUUUAGGCUUUACUCUCGACAAGUUCGGUUUCUAUGACUGGCACUCAAUUACUAGACGAACUCGCCCAGGCAGUUCGAUCUCUUGUCCAGCUCUAUCAAUUCAACUACGUUCGGCUUGAUCCUCGAAAGGGGUACGUCGGCAGCCUUUAACAAGGUUCAGUCCGAAAUCAAUCAAAAACCUUUUAUGUAUCUUUUUCGUCUUUUGUUAUCGAGCUGCGACUCAACUAGGUUUGAACUUUUAGGAAGCUAGAACUAAGUAACUCGCUGACAGCCUUUGCGGCCAAAGCUCUUAUGAUCUCUUGUAAUGAUCGCAACGCUCUUACGCGGACUCGAAAUAAGAUCUAAUGUUUUCUCUAAACUCGUUUGUUAUCUUUUCAUGAUUUCCGCAUAUAUUCGGUCACUUGUCGUUGGCUCUCGCAGAGAUCCGGGACCUCUGGGAAAUUAGGGUUUUCCUAGUUUCCUUAUUUAAACGGAAAUCGACAGUGCGAAUUUCAGUUCCCACAUUCUUUCCUCCAUCACAUCGCCUUAUCCCUUUAUGCGCUGGGCCAUGGAUAUUGUCGGACCUCUGCAUAAUUCAAAGCAAAAGCGUUUCCUUCUAGUCCUUACCGAUUUUUUCUCAAAAUGGGUAGAGGCGGACUCGUACGCAAGUAUAAAAGACGUCGAAGUCGAGAAUUUCGUAUGGAAAAAUAUCAUCUGUAGGCAUGGAGUUCCUUACAAAAUCGUAACCGAUAACGGGUCUCAGUUCAUUUCCACCCGAUUCGAGGCAUUCUGCAAAAAAUGGAAGAUACGACUCAACAAGUCAACUCCUAGAUAUCCGCAGUGCAACGGACAGGCUGAAACAAUCAACAAGACCAUUCUCGACGGACUGAAGAAACGCUUAGAGGCCAAAAAAGGUAGAUGGGCCGACGAACUCGAGGGAGUCCUCUGGUCUCACCGUACCACCCCAAGGUGAGCAACGGGAGAAACUCCCUUCACCCUGGUAUACGGCACGGAAUGCAUGAUUCCCGCAGAAGUAGAAUUUCCCGGUGUUCGAAGAAGGUUCUUACCCGAACGAGAGGAACUCAACGAUGCUAUGCUCUUGGAUGAUCUCGACCUCAUUAACGAGUGCCGAGAUCGAGCGCUCAUCCGAAUUCAAAACUACCAGCACGCCGCUGCGAGAUACUAUAAUUUCAACGUACGGAAUCGUAGGUUCAAUCAGGGAGAUCUGGUCCUUCGCAAAGUCUUCCAAAACAACGCUGAACGAAACGCGGGAAAACUCGGAGCAAACUGGGAAGGUCCCUAUAAAAUCGAAAAAGUCGUCCGACCAGGUUCUUACGAAAUAGCCAACAUGCAGGGCAUAAAAAUCCCUAGAACCUGGAACGCGCUGCAUCUCAAAAAAAUACUAUCACUAAACAAACCAACUCGCAAUCACUGAACUACGAGACGGCUUGAUCUCCGCAAGGAGUACGUAGGCAGUUUGUCGAAAGGCAUAUUCAGCUGUCCCCCCUCAUUAAAAAAGGGGGGGGAGUGGGUACGUAUACUCCUAUACUCCCAAAAAAUCGAAAAACUUCUUACCACGCUUUUGGUGUUUUCGACUUAUCAAAACAUCCUCACCCGUAAAAUCAGAACGAGGUCUUCGGAAAUUAGUCGGCCGCUUAGGAGAAGCAACCUUUAGCAUCGCGAGACGUCGCAAAAGAUGCCUCAAAGUUUAUUUCUUUCAAGAGAACGAAACCUCCGUCACAAAAAAGGCAUAUAUAUAUGCACACACUAACACUUAUUUUGUGCAAAAUAUUCAAAACAACGGCACGCGCCACCAAGUCCGAUGCUGAUCACAGCGAACUCACAAACGUCCUAAACAGACAUAGCCAUCUCACGGAGAUGACUCUCUUACAUCUGACACAAGGAUAAUAGCGCUAUAAAAGAAAUCCGAAAUUUUGGUCUAGCACUUCUGGUCUCCGGAGAGAUGCUCGGUUCGUAUCAAACAAGUCAUAUAAGCCGAGAACCUAUCGCGGACUUUACAUCGAUACGAAUCAGGAAGAAAUCGCGACAGGAAAAAACGAUAGCCGGUUAGUCACCGCACAAUCCUUAAACCGAAAGUAAACCUAGGUCUUGCCCUAAACCCAGCGCACUGGUCUCUAACAUCUCAAAGACAUGAUAUCGAAAGAUAAGAGAUUCUUAACCCAUGCCCCUAUGUUUAUGUUCGACACCUUCAGCACCCCCGCAGAGUUCACAUCUCGCGGAAGAACUCUCGAAACAGAUCUCGAAUGAAACAUUUCACAAUCGAAGAAGGAUAUGAGACGACAACUCAUCACCUUCCUCCCCACUAUUCACAAACUCAUAAAAAAGCGUUAUCCGAUUAUCGUACUAUAAAAAGAAAGCCGCGGAGCGGCAAGGAUUCAAAGCCAGAGCGGCCAGUCCCGAAAUACAAACAAGGCCAUUCAAGGCCGAAACAUAAAAAAAAAAAAUCUCUCGCAAGAGAUCUAACCCAAGUCACCCUCAGAACUUACGCCCCUUUUCACCCGCUGCCUCAUCCGAGCCUGGAGCCGCGCCGCUUCCGUUCUCUCCGACCAUCGGGUCUUUCCCCUCUGGGUCUUCUGAACACGUCGGAAGGAAGCACGCGGAUUUCAGGUCGGCCAGGAUGAGACCGAAAUCUCCAUCCUCGGCCGCCAUAUCUCCCUUGCAGCCGGACAGUCGGGCCUCUUCGGCCUCCAAGGUCGGGGGAGUCUCACUUUGGAACGACCGAACCACGGCCAUCCCGCCCUCAAUCGUCGCCAAAGCGAAAUCCCUGCUCCGGAUACACUCGAGGGAACCCAGGGAAGCAGAAAUUUUCGCCAAGCGAGCUUGAAACUCCGCACGAAGGGCAUCCGUAGCCUCUUGGAUCCCGCGGUGCGCUAGUCCCGCGUCACUCUCGAUCUGACGCUGGAGUCGACGCACCUCCGAGGAUUUGGCCUUCCUGGCCUUCUUUUCCUUAAGCAAGGAACUCGCCGUCUUCCCAAGGUCCCUCUCAAGCUCUCCUAUCGCAACCUCGAGCUUCGACACUUUCGCAGAGUGAGAGUCCUCGACAGCCGUCAACAUGGCCUCGGU
rnacentral:lncRNA from 1 species